CCUACGGGAGGCAGCAGUGAGGAAUAUUGGUCAAUGGCCGGAAGGCUGAACCAGCCAAGCCGCGUGAAGGACGAAGGUGCCAAGCAUUGUAAACUUCUUUUGUCAAGGGACAAAAUCAGGCUCGAGAGCCUGACCGAGGGUACUUGAAGAAAAAGCAUCGGCUAACUCCGUUCCAGCAGCCGCGGUAAUACGGGGGAUGCGAGCGUUAUCCGGUUUGAUUGGGUUUAAAGGGUGCGUAGGCGGACUGUUAAGUCAGCGGUAAAAGCCCGGGGCUCAACCCCGGCGAGCCGUGGAAACUGGCUGUCUUGAGAUGUCGAGAGGUAUGCGGAAUGCGCAGUGUAGCGGUGAAAUGCUUAGAUAUUGCGCAGAACUCCGAUUGCGAAGGCAGCAUACUGGCGGCGAUCUGACGCUGAGGCACGAAAGCGUGGGUAUCGAACAGGAUUAGAUACCCGGGUAGUC
rnacentral:rRNA from 1 species